GAUCUCUUUCUUGCUGAGAUUGAUUGACACACAACAUCCAGCGCAGCAGCCAAUCAGUGCCCGCGAUCUAUGUGCAGGCGAGCAUCCCGCCCACAGAACGCAAAGUUGAGUUGAGCCAGAUCUGAUACAGACGCAAACUUUUUCUGUUGCUUUAAGGACAAUUUCUUUAAUGUUAUGUGUGUUUGUGCGUAAAUGAAAAAUAACCAGAUAAUUGAAUUCAUUAAUCAUUAUGAUAAGGCUACUUUCCUCGUCUGCCGAUCCUCUUCGCACAUCACUUGGCACUGUUAUGUUUUUCGGUUACAGCCAUACACGACCUGUCUGAGCGCCCAUGUGCUUCUUGUCAAAGCUGGCAGUGGUCCUAAUUAAGAAAACUUUGCUGGAGUUGGCACCACAGAGCUGCAGGCAAUUAAACAGCGACGAGUGUCAUCGCCAGAAUGCUCGAAACAGCGGGGCUUAAAACCCCAUACACACCAGAACACCGGCACCUCCGCCUUCACGCUGCCAGACUUGUAAAACUUCGACUGCACACCACACCUUUUCAUCACACCUGAUACACGCAUGCACAAACACAUGCACUGUCAGAAAAAAAGGUACAAAACUCUGCCUUUUUCUGUCAUUGGGGUGGUAUCCAGUGGGGCUUCCGGCCUUAGUCAAACGGGUUAACACGUAUGGUCGGGUUGCGAUGUUUUUGGCGUCUUCUCCUGGUCCUGUAAAUGGUAUACAAUAUAGACCCGUUUGCCACUGAACCUGCAUUAACGACAACAGUGGGGCUUUAGGCCUUAGUCAAACGGGUCGUCAGGUUUCAUUUUCUCUUAAAGAUCGGAAGGUGACCCUUAUUUACCAUAUAUACCCUCGCAUUGGGCCCCCAAUUUGCUAAAUCCUCAACUGUGGAUAACAUAAUUAUGCCGCAAUAUCUAGUCUGUCUGGAACUAAGCUGAGUUAAACCACAUCACUGUGUGACACUUCAAUACAUAUGAACGGCUGCUACGCUAAUACGAUUUUGUUUUUCUCUCCCUGUCUCGUCCUCGACCCGAGGACGAGACAAACAGACCCAGUCCCGGUAGAUGUGAAAGUCGGCACACCUCUGAUCUACUGGCCGUCCUUCAACGUUAUGCCCAGCUGAUACCUGACCAACGAUCACCGGCAGAACCGCUUAAUCUCCGCUAAAUCUCCAUUUCCGUUCUCCCAAGGGUUUUUCCCUCCUAGGACUUAUUUUUCCUCGGAUAAAAGCCCGGGGUUUUUUUUUCUCCUAGGGGGUUUUUCACCCCGGGGAGGCAGCCUUUUUGGGCUUUACCUAGCUUCCUCUUCUAUACGUUGCUUUAGUAAUACGUGCAAUUAUAAUAUUGAGUCAUAGCCGCAGCAAAUUUAACUGCUCAUGCUAUCAUGUAUUCUGUUGUGCUAUCUGUCGUUUUCUGUGCUUUUCACUGCUUCUAUUUAUGUAAAGCUGCUUUGAAACAAUUGACUUUUGUGAAAAGCGCUAUAUAAAUAAAAUUGAAUUGAAUUGAAUAUCCUCAAAGGUUAGUAUUUGUACCUUGUAGGGGUACAAAACAAUAAAGGUACCACUAAACUUCUCAUUACAGCACUAAUACCACUAAAAGUGGUUCACUGGCUCGUAAUCAUAGGGGAACCAUUUAAGUGUUUUUCCUAUUUUCUUACAAUUGCUUCGGUUUGGGGUUAGAACAACAUUCUGUUACAUAAAAUGACAUCCUUACCAAAACCCAACUCUAACCCUGUCAGGCAAUUUAACGAUGGUUUAAAAAGUAUAAACCAAUACUUUAAGUGACAUCCUAACGCAAACAGCAAAUCUAACCCAAAACUGAAGCGACAAUUGUUUAAAAAUGGGAAAAACAGUUGAGUAACCAAUACGUGAAACUGUCACGGAAAAGAAAGUCACGGCAGGGGCACGUAAUAUGAUGGAAAUACAUGACAAUGUCACGCAAAACUGAGCAAAAUAAUGCGUGACUAUUUCACGGAAAUUUGUGAGAUCAGGUUGGUUGUAUUGUGUAAACGUGUCAAUAUAGACAAAUCAGUUUAUAUCUGAUGUCUAUAAUAAUAUUGUUUAAAAUCUUUCUCAUUCAAGGGGCUCCGAUAUCGCUGAUUUAAACUGCAAUUCAUCUACUGGCCACUAGAGGCUGGCUCCAAAAGAGAGUGUAUUACCAUAAACCCCUAUUAGCUGGAAACAGGCAACUUUUCAUAGUACUCCUAUUAGUAGAACUGCGUCCACUAGGGGGGAAACGUAGUCGGCGAUCCAGUUUUUUCUCCUUAAAGGCUGGGUUUAACGGCUCGACAGCUUAUAAAACUUAUUUCUGGGUUCUUUGGCUUGUUAGCUGUACAUACAGAAUUGUCACACAUCAGCUUUUAGGCAUUAUUCUGUUUUUGUUAUAAGCCAGAAAUGACAAGGAGGCAACCUCUCACAAUACAAAGUCAAUGGAGACGGUUGGAUUGUUUUCCCUCCCGGUGGGCAUGGUUUUCAGGUUAUGACGCGCUGUGCUCUGUCUCUAUGUUAAAAUGCCCAACUUUACAGUAGAAACCCAUUUCCGGUUAUCCGUGAGUGAUGCGCGGGCAAGAUGGCUAUGGCAGGCUUCAAAAAAGCUCUUCACAAACCUA